GAUGAACGCUGGCGGCAGGCCUAACACAUGCAAGUCGAACGGAUCCUUCGGGAUUAGUGGCGGACGGGUGAGUAACGCGUGGGAACAUACCCUUUGGUACGGAAUAGCCUCGGGAAACUGGGAGUAAUACCGUAUGUGGUCGAGAGACGAAAGAUUUAUCGCCAAAGGAUUGGCCCGCGUUGGAUUAGGUAGUUGGUGGGGUAAUGGCCUACCAAGCCGACGAUCCAUAGCUGGUUUGAGAGGAUGAUCAGCCACACUGGGACUGAGACACGGCCCAGCCUCCUACGGGAGGAGGCAGGGGGGAAUCUUAGAAAAUGGGGGAAACCCUGAUCUAGCCAGGCCGCGUAAUCGAUGAAGGCCUUAGGGUUGUAAAGAUCUUUCAGGGGGGAAGAUAAGGACUGUACCACCAGAAGAAGCCCCGGCUAACCCCGUGCCAGCAGCCGCGGUAA
rnacentral:rRNA from 1 species